UGUAAGUGUUGCCGUAUAGCUGGGGUUUCAAAGCGGCAUGUGCCUUCCUUUAUGCAAUGCCCUUGGAAAUCCCAAACGUGCUGGCGACGACA
rnacentral:pre_miRNA from 1 species